rnacentral:ncRNA from 2 species
GGAAAAUAUCGCCCUGAUGGUGCCGCCCGGAAACGGGUGGCUGAAAAGGGAACGCGGUGCGGGCUGACUGCCCAAUGCCGCGACUGCCCCCGCAACUGUAGGCGGAGAGCGGUUCCGAUACGCACCACUGGACCAAGGGUCCGGGAAGGUUCGGAACAGCGACGACCCGCAAGUCAGGAGACCUGCCAUCUCCGGCGCGGCUUC